GAGGGUGCAGCCGUGAGAAGGCGAGAUUUCGAUAUUUUAGUGACUUUUGACAUGCUACUUUUCACAUAAUCGAAGCUUAUUAAAUAAAGAAAUGUACAAUUAUGUAAACAUAAAGUCUUAUAGAAGUGUACUGCAAAGGAAAAUUUUGGUAUUUAAUAGUACAUCUUUGUUUAAUUUGUCAUUUCUUAAAAGCAAAAUUUCAAAAGCGCUCGUCAGAGCUCACUUUGAGAUAUGAAAUUACCAUUAAGCUAUGUAAAUACAUUUUUUUAAAUAUUUUCGUAGGAUAGAAUAUAUAGUCUAUUGGUGAACCACAGCGGAAAAUAUUAAAAAUUAUAUAUUUUAAUAAUUACGCACCCAUUUUUAUAAAUGACUUAUUAUACGAUUUUGGAAACAGCUUUUUAUGAGAAAAGCCCGAUUUUAUUCGUUAAAACUAUUUUGUAUCGAUUAACUGAGGAUGAAUAAAUAAUAUAAGUAAAUUUACAUAAUUAUUAUACGACGAUAGUUAUUACAAACUAUUAUUGAAAAUGGCCUAUAUAAUUACGCGCACGGGCGAAUGUGAUUUAGUACGCGCCGGGUCAUCCCAGAGGGUGGACGUAUCGCUCAUUUCCCGCGCGUCUAAAAGUUGAUUGACCUUACGUACGACCGAGGUUCAAAAGGAGUAUAGUGCGUCAUUGGAUUUGAUACUUUAGCAUGGGUAACAAACGCAAAAAAUAUAGUUGCAGUAGAAAUGCGAAGUCUGCAGCGAACGCCAGGCAAUCAAAAAGGAGAAAGAUUAACGAGGAAAAAAACCAACGUACUCAUGAAUCUCCUGACAAUAACGACUCCUGUGUUGAUUCAAAAAAUAAUAAUCGUGACAAUAAAUUAUUUGAUGCACUCAUAUCGGAUCUGGAAAAAAUAGAUGAGAAAAAACAAAAUAUACAUUUAGAAGAAACGGCAAAUAUUGAAGAGUUUGAAUUGGUAUAUAACGUUGGUCACUAUAUCACGUAGUCACGCUAUCUGCCAUGCGUAAUUCAAUUAUUAAUCUUGAUUACUGAUUUCAGGAAGUGGAGCCACAAAAACAUAUCAUUCCUCCAUAUCAAAUUAUAGGAAGAAGGAUUGUUGAUUUCAUGUAUUUCUUUGAUCAAAUCAAAAUCGUAGCUAACCAUAAUCCUGGACUCGGUUGUUCAAUAAGUAAUGUUGAAAUUGUCAAAGAAAUACUUAAUGGCUUAGAAUCGACAAUCCACUUCAAAUGUACAAUGUGUAACAAGAAAUUUAAUGUCACACUAUGCAAUAAUAAUUUUCCAAAAGAGAUGACCACAAACCAUGCUGCAGUGACUGUUUGUAAAUAAUAAAAUCUAAAAAUGUAA